rnacentral:rRNA from 1 species
CCUACGGGUGGCAGCAGUGAGGGAUAUUGGUCAAUGGACGAGAGUCUGAACCAGCCAAGUCGCGUGAGGGAUGACUGCCCUAUGGGUGGUAAACUUCUUUUAUAGAGGAAUAAAACACGGCACGUGUGCCUGUUUGCAUGUACUUUAUGAAUAAGGAUCGGCUAACUCCGUGCCAGCAGCCGCGGUAAUACGGAGGGUCCGAGCGUUAUCCGGAUUUAUUGGGUUUAAAGGGAGCGUAGAUGGUUUGUUAAGUCAGGUGUGAAAGUUUGCGGCUCAACCGUAAAAUUGCAUUUGAUACUGGCAGUCUGGAGUACAGUUGAGGGAGGCGGAAUUCGUGGUGUAGCGGUGAAAUGCGUAGAUAUCAGGAGGAACACCGUUAGCGAAGGCGGCAAGCUGGAUGGAAACUGACGCUGAGGUGCGAAAGCGUGGGUAGCAAACAGGAUUAGAUACCCGUGUAGUC